UGCAAGUGAACAAUCAGCAUUUCUUAUUGAGCCAUGCUAAUGUUUCUCUUUGUUUAAUUGCGUACUCCUUUUGUUUACUUCUUCAGAAAGCACUUCGCUCUAUUGCACACAAGCAAGAGCUAUUUCUGCACCAAUCUGUCCGAAGAUAUAAAGUUUGAACCAGCCCUUAGCUUGCAUUUGGUCUGACCUGACUCUUCUUUGUACGUAUGUAAUUGGUUUAUUUCUUGAUAGGGUGGUACUCUCUGAAUUUCUUGAUGAGCGUUCCCGUUGCUGCACCGCAUUGUGGUCAAGUCCUCUUCUUGGCCAUGCCAGUGACAUGAGCAGGACGGUGUAUACCGGCUUCCCAGACAUGUGUCUGUCGAGGCCGCACCGGGUUUGUGGAGGUGAUGGCACGAGUAUUUACCAGGAUGCUUGGAGAUGCGUUCGCAUAUG